UCUGGAGCCCUGUCAAAGCUCAAAGGCGCAAUGAAAGUGAAGGCAGCCUCCGGUUUGCCUAGGCAGGAUCCCGCCUCCCUCGCGGGGUGGGCGCACUGCCGGCCCGUCUCGACAGCAUCGUCUGCGAGGCGGAGCAAGAGCGCACACGUUGGGACCCGAAAGAUGGUGAACUAUGCCUGAGUAGGACGAAGUCAGGGGAAACUCUGAUGGAGGUCCGCAGCGAUUCUGACGUGCAAAUCGAUCGUCAAACUUGGGUAUAGGGGCGAAAGACUAAUCGAACCAUCUAGUAGUG
rnacentral:rRNA from 1 species